CUGAGUUGGUUGGUUAUGAAGCCUUUGCACUUCAGUCUGAAAUUACAACACUGAAGAGUAAUCCUCGCAAUAUAUUCAGUGUAUGCUGUGGACACAGCAUAUUUUUCAGCACACUCAGCUGGAAUCAUCAGAGAUAGAGCAGUUGUUCAAAAAGUCUCAAGAGUUAAAAACAACAACAACAAUACAAAGAGAUGAGACCUGGUCUGAGGAACUUUGAGGAAGAAGGAAGAAUUGCCAACCUCACAGAAAGGCUUUGUUUGGUAACUGCCUCAGUCAGUUUGAGCCAGAGGAGCCUUGACUUUUAAUCAACCCAGAGAAGGGAAGGUCAGAGCACCUCCAUAAAGAGGAAAAAGCAGUUUUACAUGGAAUUAUCAUUAGGACUUUGUUUCAAAAUCAGUUAUAAAAAGGAUAUGUGGAUGAAAAUGAAACAUGCUCUAAAUUUAAAAAUAUAUGCACCCAAAAAAUCUUGAAAAAGAACAAAAUUGAAAGACUCCUGCCUUCUGGUUUCAAAACUAACCAUAAAGCAACAAUAAUCAAGAUAUUAUGGUACUGGUAUACGGAACAGACAUAUAAGUCAGUGGAGAUAAUCCAGACAGCCACAUGUGAAAGAAUGAAGUUGGAUCCAAACCUCACAGCAGAUACAAAAAUUACCCAAAAUGGAUCAAAGGCCAAGUGUAAAAGGUAGAAUUAUAAAACUUUUGGAAGAUACCGUAGGAGUAAAUCUUUGUGAUCUUGUAUUUCAUAAUCGUUUUCUUAGAUAUGACACUGAAAGCACAAGCAGCAAAAGAAGAAACAGACAAAUUAGACUUUAUAAAAAUGAAUAACCUUUUUAUUUCACAGGAUACUAUCAAGAAAUUGAAGGGACAGCCCCGACAAGGAACUUGUAUCUAGAAUAUGUAAAGAAUUUUUACAGCACAAUAAUAAAAAGACAACCCAAUUUGGAAAGAGGCUAAGGAUUGGAAUAAACAUUUCUCCAAGGAAGAUAUACAAGUGGUUACUGAGCACAUGAAAAGAUGCCUAACAGUAACUAUGAGGAAAAGACAAAUCAAAAGCACAGUGAGGAGGUGUUUGUCUGGCUCAGACAUUAGGGCAUGAGAUUCUUGACCUCGGGGUUGUGAAUGUGUGCCCCAUGCUGGGUGUAGAGAUUACUUAAAAAUAAAAUCUUUUUUUUUUUU